CUAGAGCAGCUUGCUCCAAGCCCCUGUGUCCAACCUGGCCUUGAACACUGCCAGGGAUGGGGCAGCCACAGCUUCUCUGGGCACCCUGUGCCAGCGCCUCAGCACCCUCACAGGGAAGAGCUUCUGCCUAAGAGCUCAUCUCAGUCUCCCCUCUGGCAGGUUAAAGAGAAGAUUAAGCACAAUUCAGUUACGCAGCUUCAUUUCCCUUCGCAGUUUUUGAAAGUACCCUUGCUGGUACUCCUGGAUGGGGUGUUCAAUUCUGCUAAUAGUUUUUCCCCUGAAAUAGGAAUCCAUAUAAACUGUGUAACCUCCCCCUUUGCGACACAGGGAUAUAGGGCAAACUAUAAGAAUCAGGUUUUGCAUAGUCAGUAGAUGCUGUGUACAAUUGUUAUAAACUCAUGCUUCCAAAAGAGAUUUGUCUUAAUCCAGAAAAUCAGGAUUUUGUAAUGUAAAUAUUACCAGAACAUAGCUAUUUUACUUUAUAUUUCAUUUGAAAGACAAAGUGUUUACAUUAGCAUUGGGGUUUUAAAUGCUUUUUAAAUGAAAAAGCCCAUAACCCAAAGCUUCCCAGCCUGUCCAUUUGUGCUGUCCCACAAAACAGAGGUAGCUUCUACGGGUGUGUGGCGGUGCUGGGAUGCAGCUUGGGUAGAGAGAUGAGAACGUCCCGUACUCAUUCUAUAGGGUCCCCUGCAGCCACCAGCAGGAAACACCAAACAGCUAUUCCUAGCCCAUUACACUGGGAUCAAAGCCAGCAGUUUGGGACAGUUUGGGAUGUUUUUGUGUACUGCUUUUGCAAGGUUUUUGCAUGGUGGUGUAGUUCAGCUAGGUGUUUGCUCAGGACCUUUGGAUCAUGUGUCUCCCCUUUCCCUCCCAGCAUGACCUUCGUGAGGAGAUGCUGCUCCAUGUUGAUGGUUUGGUUUUGCUGCCUUGCUGGUGUCUGAGCAGAGUGGCAAAGUCCCCCAGGGAUGGUUGUUUUGUCGGCUGCUUCAUACAGCCCCAGCCUGGUUUGUGUUGGAAGGGACCUUAAAGCUCCUCCAGCUCCAACCCCUGCCACGGGCAGGGACCCCUUCCACUGGAGCAGCUUGCUCCAAGCCCCUGUGUCCAACCUGGCCUUGAACACUGCCAGGGAUGGGGCAGCCACAGCUUCUCUGGGCACCCUGUGCCAGCGCCUCAGCACCCUCACAGGGAAGAGCUUCUGCCUAAGGGCUCAUCUCAGUCUCCCCCCUGUUUCAGACCAACGUCCUUUAACAGUAUUUCUUAGUAACUAUGAAAUUGCUCAGUACUAUGAAAUACUACCAAAUAAGAAGCUUUUAAUUUGAUUUUUGUAUCACUCCCCUGUUAUAAAGCUUCUUCUGUUAUUUUGCUGCGAGGCCACUGUCCAUUAAACUCCUAUUCCUGCCCAGCAGAUAUGAGUUCUUAAUGCAUACGUGUGUGGAUUCACUCCCAAAAGCUUUGUCACGUGGGCACGAUCUCAUACUGAGUAAGUUACACAACUCUGGAUGCAGGUUGGACUCAGUGAUGUUAGUGCUGUUAUUUGGUAUUUCAGUUAAUUUUGUCUUCAGCGUGCCCUUUCAGGAUUUAUCUAUAGGAGGAUUUUAAAACAUAGAUGGCAAAGAGAAGUUUUAUGUUAAAAUGCCAUCCAGUUUUGGCAGGCAGGGAGGGAUAGGGAAGGAAAGCAGUUUUGUUUUGCCAGGCACGUGGCACAGUGCAUCACAGAGGAAUUCUGCUCCACUUCAUCUUAUUACUUUGGAAAUACAGCCCGUGGGUCUGUUACCCAAGAACCCAACAUCUACUUGAGAAAACCACUUCAAUACACUGAAUAUGGAGUGAUUUUCCCCUACCCUUUUCUUGGUUUUACUUGAAAAUAUCUUGGUUAAAAUACUUAAUUUUGGGAGCUUAGUGUGACCAAAUCUGUACCAUCACUAUAUAAUAACUUUCUCAGUAAAAAAUGAUAGUCUCAAGGAUUUAAUUUCAUAACCAGAAUUUUUUCUUUUCUCACAAUUUCCCAAGGAAAAUCAUUCUUGCAGAGUUGGGAAGAUUUUAUGAUUAUCAGUAUUUCAAUUCUUAUUUCAUUGCAAGAAAUACCCCCCACCCUGUGUAACCCUAUCCCUUUAGGAGGGACUGCAGAUAAUGCUGCUGCCAGUUGCUCUUAAAAUCACAAGCAUUCAAAGGUUUGCCCUUGAGCAGGACUUCAGGCCAAGCAGUAUGUGGUAAAACAUACCAGAAUAUCUUAUUCUUUGUUAGAAAUCCCCCUUUCUGGACAUGGGGUGAACGGUUGCAGACAUGCAGCCCGGCUGUUGGGAUUGUAAUCCACAUAGGAGGGGUUUUCCACUCCAGAGUGCUCCCAGGUUGAUGAAAUCACCUGGUUGCUUGGAUGGCAUAAAACAUCCGGAGAUGUUAGUUGUGGUCUGAGAGAGGGACUGGGGCGGGCUCUGGUUUGCAGCUCUGGUGGGUGAAGGGCACAGGGCGCAGGAGAACCUCACUGUGACACCUCUGAACCCAGAGGAUGCCCCGGAAUCGAAUUGGAUUUCCCUAGGUAUCGCCCUGUAUCAUUUUAUGAACUCCCUCGUGUAUAAAAUGUUUAUAAAUAUUUGUGGAUUAAGAUACACAGGUCUAUUUUUAAGAUUUAAGUUAAAUAAGUUAAUUAAUGGCUGGCCUUUUUUGCCUAAACGUGCAAUGAGAUAUAUUAUACCUUUAGUGGACGAUGGCCUAGGUACUGCUUAGUCUGUGAUGAAAACUUUGCUGCUUACCUACUGUUCUCAGAGAAAAAAAGAAACAACACUGUAAAAGCCGUCUGGGUUUGUUGCACACGGACUCUCGCAGCAAAGCUUUGUAUUUGACCACUGGUAAUAUGAAUGUGCUGUAUUGACUCGUUGAAGAUAAUCAUGAACCAACAUAUUUUAAAUGUUUACUUGCCUUAUAGGGUAGAAGACGACGACGUGGAUAUCAUUUUUUUUGUAAAUAAUGUUUUUUAUAAAUGUCUCCCCUCCAUUCCCCCCCGUCGCCCAUUUCACAAAAUCUUGAAUAUGCAAUUAUUUACCAUGCAUAACGUUGCAACCGACGGACCCCCGCGUCAGAACAAAGUUUAUGAAUUCUGUACAUCAGAACCACGUUAAAUCCCCAACUGAGCUGCAAUUUAAAUGUGAUUAUUAUUUUUUUUUCCUUGAAAAUAAACAAAAAUCUGUAAAACACGA